CCUAGGGUGGCAGCAGUGGGGAAUAUUGGACAAUGGGGGGAACCCUGAUCCAGCCAUGCCGCGUGUGUGAAGAAGGCCCUCGGGUUGUAAAGCACUUUCAGUGAGGAAGAACGCCUGGUGGUUAAUACCCAUCAGGAAAGACAUCACUCACAGAAGAAGCACCGGCUAACUCCGUGCCAGCAGCCGCGGUAAUACGGAGGGUGCGAGCGUUAAUCGGAAUUACUGGGCGUAAAGCGCGCGUAGGUGGCUUGAUAAGCCGGUUGUGAAAGCCCCGGGCUCAACCUGGGAACGGCAUCCGGAACUGUCAAGCUAGAGUGCAGGAGAGGAAGGUAGAAUUCCCGGUGUAGCGGUGAAAUGCGUAGAGAUCGGGAGGAAUACCAGUGGCGAAGGCGGCCUUCUGGACUGACACUGACACUGAGGUGCGAAAGCGUGGGUAGCAAACAGGAUUAGAUACCCUAGUAGUC
rnacentral:rRNA from 1 species